GUGCAGAUGAUGACGGAGGACAUCCUGUGGCAUUUCAAGACCUGUCAUCGCUGGUCCUUGAUAAAAGACUUCUGAGAGACAUGGAAAAGAUGGCCCUGUUCAAACAUACUGGGCCGCUGGAAGUCUUUCACAGCGCACUUUUGAAAUACCUCCCCAAUGAGAAGCACGGUUCAACCAAAUGUUCUGCAAGAGAUCCAAGCAGUGGGUCUUGAAGAAAAGCUUCAUACCACACAGUUUGUAGACGAACUCAUCCAGAAGGCCAUUGACAAAAGACUCAAUCCAAACAUUGUGUUCAACGUGCCAACCUCCCCACUGCCACCCAACAUUGCACCAGUGCCUAAACCAUCAAAGGAGGCUGCCACGACUUCUUUCAAAAGUCACUUCUGAGACUGACACUUUCUAAUAAUAAUAAUAACAAUCACCUCUUCCCUGAGUUCUAUUGCUGUGUCUAAUCAGAUUCUGC